rnacentral:sRNA from 1 species
GGAUAUAAGCCAUGGAGAGGGUGU